AGAUUGAACGCUAGCGGGAUGCUCUACACAUGCAAGUCGAACGGCAGCGCGGACUUCGGUCUGGCGGCGAGUGGCGAACGGGUGAGUAAUAUAUCGGAACGUGCCCAGUAGCGGGGGGAUAACUACGCGAAAGCGUGGCUAAUACCGCAUACGCCCUACGGGGGAAAGGGGGAGAUCGCAAGACCUCUCACUAUUGGAGCGGCCGAUAUCAGAUUAGCUAGUUGGUGAGGUAAAGGCUCACCAAGGCGACGAUCUGUAGCUGGUUUGAGAGGACGACCAGCCACACUGGGACUGAGACACGGCCCAGACUCCGUACGGGAGCAGCAGGUGGGUAAUUUGGACAAGUGGGGAAACCCUGACUCCAGCCACUCCCGCGUGUGCGAUAGGAAGUCCGUUCGGGUUAGUAACGCGUACGUUUAGGCGUAGGAAGAAACGGU
rnacentral:rRNA from 1 species